rnacentral:rRNA from 1 species
GACGAACGCUGGCGGCGUGCCUAAUACAUGCAAGUCGAACGCAGUGGGGACGGGUGAGUAACACGUGGGUAACCUCCCAUCAGAGGGGAUAACACUUGGAAACAGGUGCUAAACCGAUACUGAUGGAUGGACCCGCGGUGCAUUAGCUAGUUGGUGAGGUAACGGCUCACCAAGGCCACGAUGGAUAGCCGACGGUAUAGCGUGUGCGGCCGAAGUGGGACAUAGGCACGGCCCAGAAUCCUACUAGAGGCAGGAGUAGGGGAUCUUCGGCGAUAGACGAAAGUCUGACCGAGCAACGCCGCGUGAGUGAAGAAGGUUUUCGGAUCGUAAAACUCUGUUGUUAGAGAAGCGGUAUCUAACCAGAAAGCCAGGGGUAACUACGUGCCAGCAGCCGCGGUAAUAC